rnacentral:rRNA from 1 species
GAUGAACGCUGGCGGCGUGCCUAACACAUGCAAGUCGAGCGAGAACUUAUGUAAAGAAACUUCGGUAGAUUUACAAAAGGGAAAGCGGCGGACGGGUGAGUAACGCGUAGGCAACCUGCCCCAUACAGGGGGAUAGCCACCGGAAACGGUGAUUAAUACCUCAUAAAGCAUAGAUAACACAUGUUAAAGAUGUCAAAGAGAAUUCGGUAUGGGAUGGGCCUGCGUCUGAUUAGUUAGUUGGUGAGGUAACGGCUCACCAAGGCGACGAUCAGUAGCCGACCUGAGAGGGUAGGCGGCCACAUUGGAACUGAGACACGGUCCAGACUCCUACGGGAGGCAGCAGUGGGGAAUAUUGCACAAUGGGCGAAAGCCUGAUGCAGCAACGCCGUGUGAAUGAAGAAGGCCUUAGGGUCGUAAAAUUCUGUCCUAAGGGAAGAAAAAGAUGACGGACCUAGGAGGAGCCCCGCA